GCCAGGCAUGGUGGUGCAUGCCUGUAAUCCCAGCAGCUUGGGAGGCUGAGGCAGGAGGAACACAAGUUCAAAGCCAGCCUCUCUUUAGAGAUCCUGUCUCUA
rnacentral:sRNA from 1 species